rnacentral:rRNA from 1 species
UUUUUGUGUGUGCAUUCGACGCUCGUAUGUGCAAUUGUCAAUUCAUGGUGGGGACAGACCAUUGUUAAUUGUUGGUCUCGGUCUUAACUAGGAAUGCCUUGUACGGGUCUUUGGUUCAACAAACCACCCGGAAUACGUCCCUGCCCUUUGUACACACCGCCCGUCGCUCUUACCGAUGGACUUCUCUGUGAGUUUGAGGGACUGGAUUUUAUAUCUAUGGAAACUCAAACGAAC